rnacentral:rRNA from 1 species
CACGUAGGGCGCAAGCGUUGUCCGGAAUUAUUGGGCGUAAAGAGCUCGUAGGCGGUCUGUUGCGUCCGCUGUGAAAACUCGGGGCUUAACCCCGAGCCUGCAGUGGAUACGGGCAGACUAGAGGUAGGUAGGGGAGAAUGGAAUUCCCGGUGUAGCGGUGAAAUGCGCAGAUAUCGGGAGGAACACCGGUGGCGAAGGCGGCAUCCUGGACCGAGAUUGACGCUGAUGAGCGAAAGCUAGGGGAGCAAACGGG